GACGGAGGAUGCAAGUGUUAUCCGGAAUCACUGGGCGUAAAGCGUCUGUAGGUGGUUUAGUAAGUCUGUUGUUAAAUCUCGAGGCUCAACUUCGAACCAGCAAUAGAAACUACUAGACUUGAGUAUGGUAGAGGUAAAAGGAAUUUCCAGUGGAGCGGUGAAAUGCGUAGAUAUUGGAAAGAACACCGAUGGCGAAGGCAUUUUACUGGGCCAUAACUGACACUCAGAGACGAAAGCUAGGGUAGCAAAUGGG
rnacentral:rRNA from 1 species